UAAUCAGAAGCUAUUGGGAGCACCUGUGAUGUUCUCGCUCAGCUGGCUGCAAUCAGUCAGCUCAGAGUCUAUAUAAGGGGGUUGCAGUUCCCCCACUCAGCUGGUUGUGUGUUUGCAGGGAGUCGACACCAUCAGUUGGCUCUCUGCGUUCUCCGUUUGGCUGAAAAACUGAUGAGGGGGAUGGAAUUCGGGAGGAAUGUUGUUGUUGAAAACAUUUGGGAUAAUAUAUAAUCAUUUUUUCAGCACAGAAAUGUUCCAGCUCAGGCUUUCCUUCGGUUGCCAGCGAUUGUCUUCGGUUUUACGAGCACCGCCGACAUGUGAAUGCAGGCUGACACCUGUCUUUGCAGGGCUGUAAUGAGGAGGAGGAAGAGGAG